GGCUGCUGGGGGCUCUGCUGCCGGGGCCGGCUCUGCUGCCGGGACGGCUCUGGCUGCCGGGGCCGGCUCUGCUGGUUGCUGGUUUUGUUUGCUGCUGGUUUUGUUUAUUCGUGCUGCUGGUUUUGUUUGCUGCUGGUUUUGAUUGCUGUUGGUUUUGUUUGCUCAUGCUGCUGGUUUUGUUUGCUGCUGGUUUUGAUUGCUGCUGGUUUUGUUUAUUCAUGCUGCUGGUUUUGUUUGCUGCUGGUUUUGAUUGCUGCUGGUUUUGUUUGCUGCUGGUUUUGUUUAUUCAUGCUGCUGGUUUUGUUUGCUGCUGGUUUUGAUUGCUGUUGGUUUUGUUUGCUCAUGCUGCUGGUUUUGUUUAUUCAUGCUGCUGGUUUUGUUUGCUGCUGGUUUUGAUUGCUGCUGGUUUUGUUUGCUCAUGCUGCUGGUUUUGUUUCUGCUGGUUUUGUUUGCUGCUGGUUUUGUUUGCUGCUGGUUUUGUUUGCUGCUGGUUUUGUUUGCCCAUGUUGCUGGUUGGUUUGAUGCUUACUGACUUGUUGUUCGUCAUCGCUGCAGUUUGUUAGGUCCAAACAGGACCGGGAUGUUGUUGGGUUGGACCAGUCUGGAGGACUCAUUGUGGUCUUGGGUUCUGGACCAGGGUCUAGUUUGGGUCUGGUGAACUUUGACUUGGUUGAGUAUCUUGAGUUUGGUUUCUGAAUAAUUUGUCGUGUUGGAAAUGGACGAAUUUGUCCGAAUGACCUGGGAGCCAUUGGUUCAAUCAAUUGCACAAGCAUCUUGCCCUUGAACUGGUACUUUAUGGUGACUUGAAACAUAAAAUGGACGAAUUUCUAUUCAGUUAUUUAUCCCGGAACCGUCAUUGUGGCUUACAGCUUAAUAAUUUUAUUUGACCAAUUUGAAAAUGAUCUCAACACUUACAAAAUGUCAGCGCAAACGCCAGCAUUAUCAGCAACACAAAGUUGCCGAAAGGUCUGGAAAUCUGCCACGUCAGCAGAGCGGCACUUUACACCGGACUGCAGUCGGGCUCAGAGGGGCAGUGUGGAGACCCCUAGUGGUCUGAGACCAGGAGCUCUGAACGCUCUGGAGUCCACGCUGGAGACUUGGUGGGAACGUCACUCCUCGUCCUCCAACCUGUUUAUGAUGUGGUCCCCUGUCAGGCUGGGGGUUAGAUGUUCCCCUGGGUCUAAUGAUGAACCAUCUUCACAUUCAAGUGAGGAGACCAACAUUUGAUUGAGGCAUCCUAGAGAUGGGAGGGUCAUCACGACUACCUCUUGGCUGUUGGAGGCGGUCGUCUUGACGACCUGGUUCAGCAGAUUCUAGACCUAGAGGAGCAUCAACGCGUUUCGAGGGACCCCAACUUCAGAGUGAGAGGCAAGGACCUGGUAGAUCUACCUGAAGACCCCCACCUCUCCGUCAGGUGGGCAGCGGCCCACGGCUCCACCCCACCAAGUUGACUCAACCUACCAACGUCUUCCAGUCUGGAGCAGACACCCUGACCCAACCUGCGCCCCAGGGAUGAGGAGAUGCUGAGUUACUGGGAGGAGGGUCUCCACUGGGCGGUCCUUAUCAUGGUUUCCUCCCCUUUCCUCGGCUGGAGUUAGUGUUGUCCUUAUAAGGGCUCGGUGGGUGAUGUCUCUUUUCUGAAGGCGGGACAUCUGAAGGGAUGUCUUGCCAAUUAAAUAGCUUUAUCUGAAUAGAAGAUGGAAAACCAUCUCUUGUAAGUCUAUUUACUUUUUUGGUUACUUUUCAAUGUUCUCAGCAUCUCUGCUGAAUGUAACUUUGUAGCAGAUAGACGAUUAUCGUUUUUUUCAGUCAGCAAAUGUUACUGUAAGUUGUGUUUUUCAUGUGUGAAUAAAAUGCUUG
ensembl:lncRNA